AUCUAUUGGUAUUGAUUCUUGAGCAGAGCAGGGUUAUAGUGUUGUGCUGCCAGAGAAACUGCAGUCUGGAAAAUGGAAUGUAUAAAGAUCUGCUCGCUUUCCGUUCAAGCUCGUGACAAGAUAUCCCAAUCAUCCCGAUAUCGGUACAUUGCAUGAUAAUUUUGUACGUGCGGUUGAUACCUUCCGAGAUUACAAAUAUCUCGGUACAAGAAUCGGAGACGAUGGUAACGUUGGAGGUUACAAGUGGAUGACAUAUGGAGAAGCUGGAACAGCUCGGGCAGCCAUAGGUUCUGGCCUAAUAUAUCAUGGAAUACCAAAGGUGAGGAUUUCAGCUAUAA